GGAAGAAGGAGAUGAUGAAGGAGGAUCUCAAAGCCACCUGCAUGCAGAUUGUUUAGGAGAGUGACUUUAAAGUUGGCUGCUUUGCUUGGAUUCUGUGUAGUUGUCUGCAAGAUGAGGUGCAAUCUCUUCCUCACACUUUUUGCGUGUUUCUGGGGAAUUCUGCAAGAGGAAGUGGAUGUGCCUCACUGCUGGAGUUCCUGCUUUGACUUCAAGUA